GGGGUCGACUUGGUAUCGAUUAGAGCUGUGAGGUAUAGUUGCAUGUCGGUCUGGGCAAAUCGUAAAAAGGCCCACUUUUUUUAGACGCAAACAAUACAAAUUACGCUCCAGCUUACGCGAAAGCUGCGUAAGUUUAACAACUUAUAGGACUCCCUUCGGGUUGAGUCCGCGGAGGCUCGCACUACUGAUUCUAUCUAAGUAGAUCCAGCGGGUUCACCAAAGAUAGAUUAUCUUUCGGGCUUGAUCGUCCCGCAAGAGACAUUUUGAUCUUAGCUUCACUGGUAGCCUUGCAGGUUGAGUAGCCAGAAAAGUGAAAUUAUUUCAACCUUUCUAAGCAUGUAGACGCUAUAUUGAGCAGUUUUAAGACUCGGGUUCAAUCCCCGACGACUCCACCA
rnacentral:tmRNA from 1 species